rnacentral:rRNA from 1 species
AUUGAACGCUGGCGGCAUGCCUUACACAUGCAAGUCGAACGGCAGCACGGGGGCAACUCUGUGGCGAGUGGCGAACGGGUGAGUAAUGAAUCGGAACGUGCCCAGUAGUGGGGGAUAACCAGUCGAAAGACUGGCUAAUACCGCAUACGACCUAAGGGUGAAAGCGGGGGACCGUAAGGCCUCGCGCUAUUGGAGCGGCGGAUGUCGGAUUAGCUAGUUGGCGGGGUAAGAGCCCAACAAGGCGACGAUCAGUAGCUGGUCUGAGAGGACGGCCAGCCACACUGGGACUGAGACACGGCCCAGACUCCUACGGGAGGCAGCAGUGGGGAAUAUUGGGCAAUGGGCGCAAGCCUGAUCCAGCCAUGCCGCGUGCGGGAAGAAGGCCUUCGGGUUGUAAACCGCUUUUGGCAGGAACGAAACGACGCAGGCCAAUACCUUGCGCUAAUGACGGUACCUGCAGAAUAAGCACCGGCUAACUACGUGCCAGCCGCCGCCGUAAGAC